rnacentral:misc_RNA from 1 species
CAGACUCGUCCCAUUCUUCCCCCUCAAUUUUCAGUCUCAAGACUACACGAUUCAUAGAUCUUGAUUCUGUUGUUCGUGCAUUGGCUUCUAUGGACAUCACGUUCACAUUGUUAACUUGGUUCAAGAACUCGAGAAUCCGAAUCAACAUUUCUUGAAUAGAGCAUUCUCCUCUUAGUACAACUUGAAGGUCGAUGAUUCUUUGUUCUUCUGAUGUUGAUUCAGAUACAUGUACAACCCUGAGUUCAAUUCUUUCAUUUGAGGACUCACUGCCUUCUUCUGCAACUUCUUUUGUAGGUAGUUGUUGCACUUGUGCCUCUAAUUGCUGGUUUCUCUU